GACAACUUGGCCGAGUGGUUAAGGCGACAGACUUGAAAUCUGUUGGGUUCGCCCUCACAAGUUCGAAUCUUGUAGUUGUCG
rnacentral:tRNA from 3 species